rnacentral:sRNA from 1 species
UUUUUGUGCGUGAGGGAUAGCAGCGGAAAUCCUUAUCUAGUAUGGAGCGAUAGCGAAAUACUAGAGAAGAUUGCAGCGCAUAGCCCGACCCGCU